GGGAGUUGGAUUCUCUUAUACAAACAAAUCAUCAGAUUUAGAAAAGCUUGGAGACAAAGUCACAGCUGAAGAUUCUUAUGCUUUUCUUAUUGGUUGGUUCAAAAGGUUUCCAAAUUUCAAACUCCAUGAUUUCUAUUUAGCUGGAGAAAGCUAUGCUGGUCACUAUGUUCCUCAGCUUGCUGACCUCAUUCAUGAAAAAAACCAAAAUGCUUCCAAGGAUACAUUUAUUAAUCUCAAGGGUUUCAUGAUUGGGAAUGCUGCGAUGAACGA
rnacentral:misc_RNA from 1 species